rnacentral:rRNA from 1 species
GAUGAACGCUGGCGGCGUGCCUAACACAUGCAAGUCGAGCGAACCCUUCGGGGUGAGCGGCGGACGGGUGAGUAACGCGUGGGUAACCUGCCCUAUACACACGGAUAACGUACCGAAAGGUACGCUAAUACGGGAUAAAGUUGUUGGAUGGCAUCUUCUAACAAUCAAAGCUCUGGCGGUAUAGGAUGGACCCGCGUCUGAUUAGCUAGUUGGUGAGGUAAUGGCUCACCAAGGCGACGAUCAGUAGCCGACCUGAGAGGGUGAUCGGCCACACUGGAACUGAAACACGGUCCAGACUCCUACGGGAGGCAGCAGUGGGGAAUAUUGCACAAUGGGCGAAAGCCUGAUGCAGCAACGCCGCGUGAGCGAUGAAGGUCUUCGGAUCGUAAAGCUCUGUCCUCAAGGAAGAUAAUGACGGUACUUGAGGAGGAAGCCCCGGCUAACUACGUGCCAGCAGCCGCGGUAA